CUCCCUGUUUUAUCAAGUAAGUUUUUAUUUGCUCUUCUUAUUUAUUCUUUUCCGUUUUAGUGUUUUAUUUAUUUCAAAAAAAUCAUCAAUAUAUAUUUUCUUGCUUUAAUUUACUGCAUUCUAUAAACAUGAAAACAAAAUAAAAAGAGUGUGUAGAUAAGUGUGUUUUAUUUAUCUACUAAGUGUUAAUCUCUAGAAAAAUAAAAAGACCAAAAUGAUGCAUGAUGAAAAUGAUAAACAGUUGCUCUGUUUGCUUACUUUCAAGUACCUAGCUUUUGUAUUAGAGUUCUCCAAGGAAUUACUAAAACUGAAAUUUACUAUCUAUUGGAAGCAUGAACCUAGAACUAAAGUCUAGGUAAGAGAAGGACAUGAUAUAAAGUUUGAGCUACUGAUUAUCCUGUUUCUACUACACUAAGUUCUGGAGAUUUAUUUUGAAAACUUGCAAAUCACAUGAUGAGUUCCUAGCAUGAUGAAAAUCCCUACCACAACCAUACCUGCUACAAUUUCUAUAUCUUUUGCUACUUAUAUUCACAUUGAGUUCGAUCGAGCUGUGUAGACCCUUAGGAGCUUUUCAUGUGGUUAAAUCAAGAUACUCACUUGCACAGAUCUAUUAUACCAUCCAUCACCAUUCAUAAAAAAUCUGCUAAAAUAUUGUUAUCACUCACUGUCCCAAGUGUUGUUAUUCUCUCUCUCCAAAAAGAUUCAAUGCAGAAGAGGCAUGGGUUAUGCAAAAAUAUGUGAGGAAAUAAAAAGGGGCAAGUGCCCGGAACCUCGAAAAAAAGAAGAAGAAAAAAAAGUGAGACGAUAGGUAAAAAUGGACAAGUGUCUAGAGUUGAAUUAGGGGUACAAAGAUGCCCACCUGAGUGAAAAAAAUGGACAAGUGUCCGACAGUAGAAUUAGGGGUAUUUACUACCCACCUGAAAAAAAGAGAAAAAGAAGGAAAAAAAAGAGAUAGCCCAUGUUCUCCCAAAGCAAAAAUCAAAAGAGGAGGAGAGAUAGCAAUAUGAGGAGCAAUGAGAAGUAAGUUUUAUCAUCACUUAUACAUUUUUACCAUCACUGUCAUCUACUCCACCACACAUGCACAUCUUAAUUUAACUAUAUGCUGAGUUCCUUUGGAUCCAUGGCUUGAUUAGACAACAUAUGUAUGAGCUGUUUUUCACUCCUAUGAGCUCCACUUAAAUAUUCCAUUAGCUAUAGGUAGGUGACAUCUUUGUAAGGAUCCACUAAUACCACAUAUAGAGAGACUUAAGAGAAUCAUAGCUGGGAACUCUGAGCUUUAUUUUUGAAAACUUAUGCAAAACUCCAGAACAAAUGUGAAGUAUAGGCAAGAGGAAUAGUGCUUGACUUAAUUAAUUUGUCUUUCAAUUACUCAAGACUUAAGUGCAGGUACUAAGCCCCUUGACACUUCACUCUAAUCUGGGAGAAUUUUAUAUGAAAGCAUGUGUGCCUGUCAAGAAAGAAAACAUCAAAGCAACUCCUGAUCCAUUUGAGUUUAGUUGUUUGCUCAGGGACGAGCAAAGGGUAAUCUUGGGGGAGUUUGUUGGCGGUCCUUAAGUACUAAAUUUAGCUAUCAAAUAAGCAUGGAAAAGGAUUAAUAUCCACCAAACAUCUAGAAUUAGGGUUUUAUCUGACAGAAUUCCACGAGUUUUGGUGUUUGUCUAUUUCUGCAGGGGGUUAUCAGAAAAUAUGGAGAGAAGGCCCACACAUCGGGCUAACAACGAGAUAAUUACGUCCCGCGCAAUUUUCCUCGACCAAGAAGAGUCCAGAAGCCACGAGAACGAACGGGAGGCCGAGCGGGCCCGGGGGCAUGGCGCCCGCCCUCCCCACUUGGGCGCCCGCCCUGCCGUGGUGACCAAUCAGGGCAAGUCUCGCGGAUCGUGCUCCACCGCCUCUAAUCUUCAAGAAUAACCGUGCGAUUAAGGUCAGUUUGAUCCGACGCCCCAAAUUCAUCUGAGGGGACUAUAUAAGCAAGGCCUCUCCACCCCAAGGGGAGAGGAGAAAUCAUUAUCAUAGGAAGCCAUCAAAUUUAGGGUUUUAGAACUUCUCCCGCAGAGAAUUAGAAUUAGCUACUCCCAGUUCCUUCAAGUUCUAUAGGAUUGAUUAGAUAGAAUUAGAGAAGUAGAGCACUACGCUCUGGAUUUCGGAUCAUCAUCAUUAAAGAUUGGUAUUAUUUCAUAUCUUUCUCUACUACUUUAUUCUAAUUGUAUUAUGUCUCUAUUUAUUAUGUCUUUGUUUGCUCUAGUUCUAUAUUUGAUAUAGUUAUGAUUGAUAAUGAGUUUAUGUAUAAGUUUGCAAAGCGCUUAGCUCUUGACGCGCGGGAGUUAGGUGGUAGAUCGCAUGUGGGCGUGGUGCUUAGAUGUUAUUUACCUGCAAAUGUAUCCUAUUGGUUGGGUUGUGUGGUAGUUCACGAUGGUGACAGCUUCGUUGAUUCUUAUAUAGUCCACCCUCCAUUGAUAGGACAGGCAGAAUUUGUAUUGCGGAGUAAGUCUUGCU
rnacentral:lncRNA from 1 species